rnacentral:rRNA from 1 species
AAGCGAGCGGCGGAUGGGUGAGUAACACGUGGGGAACCUGCCCCUAAGUCUGGGAUACCAUUUGGAAACAGGUGCUAAUACCGGAUAAUAAAGCAGAUCGCAUGAUCAGCUUUUGAAAGGCGGCGUAAGCUGUCGCUAAGGGAUGGCCCCGCGGUGCAUUAGCUAGUUGGUAAGGUAACGGCUUACCAAGGCGACGAUGCAUAGCCGAGUUGAGAGACUGAUCGGCCACAUUGGGACUGAGACACGGCCCAAACUCCUACGGGAGGCAGCAGUAGGGAAUCUUCCACAAUGGACGCAAGUCUGAUGGAGCAACGCCGCGUGAGUGAAGAAGGUUUUCGGAUCGUAAAGCUCUGUUGUUGGUGAAGAAGGAUAGAGGUAGUAACUGGCCUUUAUUUGACGGUAAUCAACCAGAAAGUCACGGCUAACUACGUGCCAGCAGCCGCGGUAAUACGUAGGUGGCAAGCGUUGUCCGGAUUUAUUGGGCGUAAAGCGAGCGCAGGCGGAAAAAUAAGUCUAAUGUGAAAGCCCUCGGCUUAACCGAGGAACUGCAUCGGAAACUGUUUUUCUUGAGUGCAGAAGAGGAGAGUGGAACUCCAUGUGUAGCGGUGGAAUGCGUAGAUAUAUGGAAGAACACCAGUGGCGAAGGCGGCUCUCUGGUCUGCAACUGACGCUGAGGCUCGAAAGCAUGGGUAGCGAACAGGAUUAGAUACCCUGGUAGUCCAUGCCGUAAACGAUGAGUGCUAAGUGUUGGGAGGGUUUCCGCCUCUCAGUGCUGCAGCUAACGCAUUAAGCACUCCGCCUGGGGAGUACGACCGCAAGGUUGAAACUCAAAGGAAUUGACGGGGGCCCCGCACAAGCGGGUGGGAGCAUGAAGGUUU